AUUAAUACCCCAUAGUAUAGCGGAGAGGCAUUCUCUCUGUUAUUAAAGAUUUAUCACUUGAAGAUGGCUGUGUCGGCUGAUUAGGUAGUUGGCGGGGUAACGGCCCACAAGCCUGCGAUCAGUAACUGGUGUGAGAGCACGACCAGUCACACGGGCACUGAGACACGGGCCCGACUCCUACGGGAGGCAGCAGUAAGGAAUAUUGGUCAAUGGACGAAAGUCUGAACCAGCCAUGCCGCCGUGGAGGAUGAAGGUCCUCUGGAUUGUAAACUUCUUUUAUAUGGGACGAAAAAAGGUCUUUCUAGAUCGUCUGACGGUACCAUAUGAAUAAGCACCGGCUAACUCCGUG
rnacentral:rRNA from 1 species